GACGAACGCUGGCGGCGUGCUUAACACAUGCAAGUCGAACGGAAAGGCCCUGCUUUUGUGUGGUGCUCGAGUGGCGAACGGGUGAGUAACACGUGAGUAACCUGCCCUUUACUUUGGGAUAACUUCAGGAAACUGGGGCUAAUACCGGAUAGGAGCUCCUGCUGCAUGGUGGGGGUUGGAAAGUUUCGGCGGUUGGGGAUGGACUUGGGGCUUAUUAGCUUGUUGGUUGGGUAGUGGCUUCCGAAGGCUUUGGAGGGUAGCCGGCGUGAGAGGGUGACCGGGGACAAUGGGGCUGAGGUAGGGACCAGAGGGGUACAGGGGGCAGAAGGGGGGAGUAUUGUACAACAGGGGGGAGGCUGAUGAAAAAGCGCCGGGUGGGGGAUGAAGGCCGUCGGGGGGUAAAGCGCUUUAGGCUGUGACGAAGCGGUAGUGACGGUAAUGGGAGAAGAAGCACCGGCUAACUACGUG
rnacentral:rRNA from 1 species